rnacentral:rRNA from 1 species
GACAGAGGGGGCAAGCGUUGCUCGGAAUUACUGGGCGUAAAGAGCUCGUAGGCGGUUCGUCGCGUCGGCUGUGAAAUCCCGAGGCUCAACCUCGGGUCUGCAGUCGAUACGGGCGGACUGGAGUUCGGCAGGGGAGACUGGAAUUCCUGGUGUAGCGGUGAAAUGCGCAGAUAUCAGGAGGAACACCGGUGGCGAAGGCGGGUCUCUGGGCCGAUACUGACGCUGAGGAGCGAAAGCGUGGGGAGCGAACAGG